rnacentral:rRNA from 1 species
GAUGAACGCUAGCGGCAGGCCUAAUACAUGCAAGACGAACGGUAAGUUGAGUAGCAAUACUUAGCCAAGAGUGUCGUACGGGUGCGUAACACGUAUGCAACCUACCCUAUACAGGAGGAUAGCCUAGGGAAACCUGGAUUAACCCUUCAUAGUAUUAUUGGAUGGCAUCAUUUGAUAAUUAAAACUGAGGUGGUAUAGGAUGGGCAUGCGUCUGAUUAGUUAGUUGGCGGGGUAAUGGCCCACCAAGACGAUGAUCAGUAGGGGUUCUGAGAGGAAGAUCCCCCACACUGGCACUGAGAUACGGGCCAGACUCCUACGGGAGGCAGCAGUAGGGAAUAUUGGUCAAUGGAUGCAAGUCUGAACCAGCCAUGCCGCGUGCAGGAAGAAGGGCCUUCUGGGUUGUAAACUGCUUUUGCCAGGGGAUAAAAUUUCCAUGCGUGGAAAACUGAAGGUACCUGGUGAAUAAGCACGGCUAACUACGUGCCAGCAGCCGCGGUAAU